GAUCUGUGGAAGCACCUGUAUUGCUUUGACCAUCGUGGUUAUCUGUGGUGUGUGUUUUUUACUGCGAUGGGAUCAGGCUCCUGUCACAUAUUACACAAGCCUCCUUGUCUUCAAUCUAUUCCAGUUCCCAUUUGUAAUGGCCGUGAAGAUCAGCGAUACAUCCUUCAGUAUUCCUCUUGUCAUUUAUCUCUCUGGUUUGAUGGCCACUCUUUACUUCAAGAUGUGCAUUGCUCUGGAAAGGUAUUUUUUCAUCGCAUUUCCGCUGUUGAAGUGCAUCAGGCAACCAAAAGGUUCUGUGCUGGUCUUUGUUUUGGUCUGGGUCCUUUGUUUUGUUAGUGCUGCUCUUGCUGUAACCAUAGAAGACUGUUCACGCUUAAUCAUUCAUGCCUUCUUCCCUGCCCCCGUGUUAAUCUUCUGUUUAGCUGGAACUAUCAAAGCCCUGCCUGCUGCCACAUCAGUCUCCACUGAGGAAAAGCGAAGAAUUGUGGGAACUUUGGUUUUGUUGCUAUUUAACUACUUUCUGAUAAACCUACCUGCAGUUACUCUAUCAAUAUAUCUAUCUGGCA
ensembl:lncRNA